CCUGAGCGUGGGGCAGCUGUGGUCUCAACACUGACCCGCCUUUCAUUGUCACAUCAUUCGUCAUGUGGCUGCUCAGGAGCUAGGCCCCCAUCUCCAUCCGGGUCUCCUUGUCCUUUCCUGUUCUACCUACCCCAUAGCCCUUGACCUCUAAUGUGCUCAGCACCAAGCCCACAUGAUUGGAUGGCCCACAUGAUUGGACGGCCCACAUGGACUGGUGCUGCUGUCUUGCCUCUGCUGUGUCAGCAGCCGGCACGGAGCCUGGCAGAUAAGGAGGGCUCACUCCGUAAGUAUUUGUUAGUUGUUGAGUGGAACUGAGAGGCCGGAAUCGGGGGCUGGGAACCACAUAAGGGUUCUGGGACCUUCUCAGUAGGUGAAGGGUCUGCCUGGUGAAGGGAGCAUGCAUGCUACACAGUGUGGGGGAGGGAUACCCUUGGUCCUUUCCCUGGGUGGGGGGGGGGGGGUCAGGCCAGAUGCAUUUCCAUCCGGGUCCAGUUUGCACCACCUCUCUGCUUUCUUCCAGGCACCAGCCAUCUCCCUUAGGAGAAUCUCCCUGGGUCCCAACGUUGGCAGUCACCAGCGGACGGAGCCGCAGUGCCCCCAGCUAGCCAAUUCCAAGCAGAAGGCAACGGGCUGUUGGCCUGGCAUGGGAAGGCCCGUGUUUCCGUCCAUGGCCACCUCUGGACCUGUUCAUUCAGAGACCUCUGUUGAGCCCGUCCUCUGCCCAGGUGUGAGCCCUCGUGGGCACGUACUGGCCUCUGCACCCCCGUUUCAGCUCCCAUUGCCACGUGCCAGCAAAGCCUACCCACCGCUGCCCCUGGAGCCACACCCCCUUCUGCCCUCUGCACGCUGUGAGGUUGCCAUCGACUCCACGAGGCAGAGUGAGCUGUUCCUGUGGCUUGGCAAGGCACAAGGACUGAAGAUGCCCUCCCAGCUUGGGAGCCCUGGUGCCCAAUGGGGCUGCCCACCACUCUGA
rnacentral:lncRNA from 1 species